rnacentral:rRNA from 1 species
UGGGGAAUAUUGCACAAUGGGCGCAAGCCUGAUGCAGCCAUGCCGCGUGUGUGAAGAAGGCCUUCGGGUUGUAAAGCACUUUCAGCGAGGAGGAAGGUGGUGAGCUUAAUACGCUCAUCAAUUGACGUUACUCGCAGAAGAAGCACCGGCUAACUCCGUGCCAGCAGCCGCGGUAAUACGGAGGGUGCAAGCGUUAAUCGGAAUUACUGGGCGUAAAGCGCACGCAGGCGGUUUGUUAAGUCAGAUGUGAAAUCCCCGGGCUCAACCUGGGAACUGCAUUUGAAACUGGCAAGCUAGAGUCUCGUAGAGGGGGGUAGAAUUCCAGGUGUAGCGGUGAAAUGCGUAGAGAUCUGGAGGAAUACCGGUGGCGAAGGCGGCCCCCUGGACGAAGACUGACGCUCAGGUGCGAAAGCGUGGGGCAGCAAACAGGAUUAGAUACCCUAGUAGUCCAGCGCUGUAAACGAUGUCGAUUUGGAGGUUGUGCCCUUGAGGCGUGGCUCCGGAGCUAACGCGUUAAAUCGACCGCCUGGGGAGUACGGCCGCAAGGUUAAAACUCAAAUGAAUUGACGGGGUCAUAGCUGUUUCCU